UAGGGAAUUUUCCGCAAUGGGCGAAAGCCUGACGGAGCAACGCCGCGUGAAUGAGGACGGCCUUCGGGUUGUAAAGUUCUGUUCUGUGGGAAGAAAAAUAGACGGUACCAUAGGAGAAAGCCCCGGCUAACUACGUGCCAGCAGCCGCGGUAAUACGUAGGGGGCGAGCGUUAUCCGGAAUUAUUGGGCGUAAAGCGCGCGCAGGCGGUUAAUUAAGUCAGAUGUGAAAGGCUACGGCUCAACCGUAGAGUUGCAUUUGAAACUGGUUAACUUGAGUGCAGGAGAGGUAAGUGGAAUUCCCGGUGUAGCGGUGGAAUGCGUAGAGAUCGGGAGGAACACCAGUGGCGAAG
rnacentral:rRNA from 1 species